CACGUAGGGUGCGAGCGUUGUCCGGAAUUAUUGGGCGUAAAGAGCUCGUAGGCGGUGUGUCGCGUCGGCCGUGAAAACCUGCAGCUUAACUGUGGGCUUGCGGUCGAUACGGGCAUCACUGGAGUUCGGUAGGGGAGACUGGAAUUCCUGGUGUAGCGGUGAAAUGCGCAGAUAUCAGGAGGAACACCGGUGGCGAAGGCGGGUCUCUGGGCCGAUACUGACGCUGAGGCGCGAAAGCGUGGGGAGCAAACGGG
rnacentral:rRNA from 1 species